UUUGUUAUUUGUGAAUUUUGCCAAAAAAAUAGCAGCAUUUGAAAAUUAUGAAAAAUAUGAUAUGUUUAUACAAGCUUCGGAACGCUAUUUCCAUAGCGAGAAGCCAACCGUUUUUGGUAUAUUUGCUCGUUUAAAGGACAAUUUACUUGAGCACGGAUCUUUUGUGCCAGUGCGUCCUAAAGCAUAUAAUAAAAAAAAAAUAGGGAAGAAAAAGAAAUAGAUGUUUUAGGGUAUAUAGAACCGCGCAACACCCUCGAGCUCAUGUAGAAAAAUCGAAAAAGACAUUGGAAUGCUAAAAACUGACGCACAACAUAAAAAAAUAUAAGUAUUAUUUAUACAAAUUUAACAUAGUUCAAGAUUUACAUCGUGGCGAUGCCGAAUGCCGGAUUCUAUUUUGCCAAUAGUAUUUGCAGCGAAUUGAUGCAAAAAACUUAUUUGGCAGACUCGUUAUCUACCAUUGAAUACUUUUUUUCAAGUGCGAGCAUUUUUAACCGACAUAAUACUCUAAACUGGCAUUAGAAAAUAGACAUUUAAUAUUUGAAAGGGCACAACAAGGACGCAUCGGAGUUGGAGUGUUUUAUUUUGGGAAAAUAAAUAGUAUACCGAAUUUUUACAGGGAGUUUUCGAGCAUGUAGGUACCUAGACAUACUUGAGGAAGUUAUUCCAGAACUUCAGGAAAAUAUCCCUCUAGCCCAAUAUAACGAUGUCCAUUUACAACAACAUGGUGCCUGAAGUCAUGGCUUUCGGCUAUUAAGGGCAUUUCUUAAAAAUAUCUCCUCAAAGAUGGAUAGGUAGCAACGAACCUCCACGGUCCCCCGAUCUCUCGAUUUUAGAAUUUUUUAUGGGGAUAUAUACAAAAUCAAGUGUAUAGAAGACAAUACUACAAUCUAAUAGAACUUCAAGACGCAAUUCAUUUAGCAUUUCAAUAUCUGAGAAGGAAACAAAUUAUUAUUUUGAAUGCUAUUCAAAGCGUUACAAAGAUGUGCCAAUUUUGUAUCAGAUAAGAGAGUGGUCAUUUUGAACAUCUCUUGUAAAAAUUUUGUUUUGUUACAUUGUUGUUUUGUUAUAUGGUUGUUUUCUUAUAGUGUUUAUUAGAUUUAUAUAUUUGUUUUUUAUGUUCUUUUAUUACAAAAUAAAUAAAAAUGAUGCUAUUCCC